rnacentral:tRNA from 2 species
GCGCCCGUAGCUCAAUGGAUAGAGCAUUGGACUUCGGAUCCAAGGGUUGGGGGUUCGACUCCCUCCGGGCGCGCCA